rnacentral:rRNA from 1 species
CUUUGAUCCUGGCUCAGGAUGAACGCUAGCUACAGGCUUAACACAUGCAAGUCGAGGGGCAGCAUGAAGUCAGCUUGCUGACUUUGAUGGCGACCGGCGCACGGGUGAGUAACGCGUAUCCAACCUGCCCAUCACUGGGGGAUAACCUUGCGAAAGUAAGACUAAUACCCCAUGGUUUCCAUAGAGGACAUCUGAAAUGGAAUAGAGAUUCAUCGGUGACGGAUGGGGAUGCGUCCGAUUAGCUUGUUGGCGGGGUAACGGCCCACCAAGGCUACGAUCGGUAGGGGUUCUGAGAGGAAGAUCCCCCACAUUGGAACUGAGACACGAUCCAAACUCCUACGGGAGGCAGCAGUGAGGAAUAUUGGUCAAUGGACGGGAGUCUGGACCAGCCAAGUAGCGUGCAGGAUGACGGCCCUAUGGGUUGUAAACUGCUUUUAUAGGGGAAUAAAGUUUGGGUCGUGACCCAUUUUGCAUGUACCCUAUGAAUAAGGACCGGCUAAUUCCGUGCCAGCAGCCGCGGUAAUACGGAAGGUCCCGGCGUUAUCCGGAUUUAUUGGGUUUAAAGGGAGCGUAGGCCGGAUGUUAAGCGUGUUGUGAAAUGCCGCGGCUCAACCGUGGCACUGCAGCGCGAACUGGCAUUCUUGAGUGCGCACAAGGCAGGCGGAAUUCGUGGUGUAGCGGUGAAAUGCUUAGAUAUCACGAAGAACCCCGAUUGCGAAGGCAGCUUGCCGGGGCGUAACUGACGCUGAAGCUCGAAAGCGUGGGUAUCGAAUAGGAUUAGAUACCCUGGUAGUCCACGCGGUAAACGAUGGAUGCCCGCUGUUUGCGCACCUGCGUGAGCGGCCAAGCGAAAGCAUUAAGCAUCCCACCUGGGGAGUACGCCGGCAACGGUGCAACUCAAAGGAAUUGACGCCGUCAAUUCCUUUGAGUUGAUCCUGAGCCAGGAUCAAAGUCU